GACGAACGCUGGCGGCGGGCUUAACACAUGCAAGUCGUACGAACAUUUGGGUGUUCGGGGCUGGUGAUUAGUUGCGAACUGGUGAGGAACAUGUGGGUUACCUGCCCCUCACGCUGGGAUAUGCCCGUGAAACUUGGGCCCAUACGGGAUACGACUUGUCGCCGCUUGGUCUGCUGGUGGAAAGUUCUCUGGGGGGGUGAGGUAUGGGCCCGCGGCGUAUCAGCUUGUUGGUUGGGUGGUGGCAUACCACGGCGACGACGGGUAGCCGGCGUGAGAGGGUGUCCGGCCACACUGGGAAUGAGAAACGGCCCAGAGUCCUACGGAAGGCAGCAGUGGGGAAUCUUGGACAAUGGGCGAAAGCCUGAUGCAGCGACGCAGCGUGAGGGAUGACGGCCUUCGGGUUGUAAACACCUUUCGGCAGGGAACAAGCCUGGGGGUUUUCUUCUGGGUGAGGGUACCUGCGGAAGAAGCACCGGCUAACUACGUG
rnacentral:rRNA from 1 species